rnacentral:misc_RNA from 1 species
UGGUUCCAGCAUCGAUGAAGAACGCAGCGAAAUGCGAUAAAUAAUGUGAAUUGCAGAAUUCCGUGAAUCAUCGAGUUUUUGAACGCACAUUGCACUCCUUGGUAUUCCGAGGAGUACGCCUGUUCGAGCGUCAUUACACUAUCAAGCUCAGCUUGGAUUUGAAUUUCUGUCGUGGCAGGAUUCCAAUAUCGUGGGCAAUUGACCAUCUGUGAUGACUCACUUGGAGUUAAUUCGCCUGAAACUUUUUGAAAAGUUGACCUCGGAUCAGGCGGGGAUACCCGCUGA